rnacentral:lncRNA from 1 species
CUUAUAUAUAAAAUAUUUUACUUACAAUACAAUUCUUUAUAACUUAAAUUAUGAAAUUUAUAUUGAAGAUUAAGAAAAAGCUUUGGCACCUGCCUAAUUGUUUUUUGUAGUCUAGAAAAACAUUAAUAAUGAUCUUUCUUACUAGUUAAUAAUAUAUGUCACGUUAAUCUAACUUUCAUCUUAUACAAAGUAUCGGUUGAAAACAAAUAAUACCACCAUCUUUCUAUAUUUUAGCCUUAAGUAUAAUAAUAGACGGACUGCAAAAUUUUAUGUUGUCUU